UACGUAGGGGGCGAGCGUUGUCCGGAUUUAUUGGGCGUAAAGAGCUCGUAGGCGGUUGCGGAAGUCGGAUGUGAAAUACCGGGGCUCAACUCCGGGGCGCCAUUCGAUACUCCGCUGACUCGAGUCCGGUAGGGGAAGGUGGAAUUCCUGGUGUAGCGGUGAAAUGCACAGAUAUCAGGAGGAACACCGGUGGGGAAGGCGGCCUUCUGGGCCGGUACUGACGCUGAGGAGCGAAAGCUAGGGGAGCGAACAGG
rnacentral:rRNA from 1 species